UUUCACAAACUUUUCACACAAUUCACUACUAAGAAAGCUCUGUUAAAAGGUAACAUAGAAGAAGGAGAUUGCACAAGUUAUUCUGAAAAGCUCAAAGAUAAUGCCGAGGGAGCCGCUGAACCACUCGGGAACCCGGAGGAUUGAGUGUCUAGAGGAGAUGGGUGACGCUGUUUGGGAGCUGGAUAGAGCGUCACAAACCUUGACUUUUACUGGAUUCGUGAAGACAACUGAAGGAAUAGGAGGAUUACUUGUUUCAUCUAUCAUACACCAUAUUACCCUGGAGAUGGUGCUGCCAUUAGAGAGAAUGAUAAUGGUUCUCAACCUUAAUGGAGUUGGAAGGGGUU